GUCCCCUUAUCUUUUCUUUUAUAGGUAAUUUAGGUGUAACCGUCGAACACAUGGAGUCUCGCUUAUUGUGCAUAAAUGGAUAGUUAACCCCCAUUAUCGGACUGUUAUCAUAGAGUUAAUGGAUAGUUUAUGCCCACUAACAGUCGUGGCAUGUAGUUAUUAUCCACGAUUGUAGUAUCAUAAUUGUAGAUUAGGCAGUCGGUCAUAUCAGUUAGCUAUAUCAGU
rnacentral:lncRNA from 1 species